rnacentral:tRNA from 4 species
GGAGAGUACGUUGGUGUGUCCAACAGCCGGUCUUGAAAACCAGCAUGCGGUAUCCAUUCCGGGGGUUCGAUUCCUCUACUCUCCGC